AUUGAACGCUGGCGGCAUGCUUUACACAUGCAAGUCGAACGGCAGCACGGGGGCAACCCUGGUGGCGAGUGGCGAACGGGUGAGUAAUGCAUCGGAACAUACCCAGUCGUGGGGGAUAACGUAGCGAGAGUUACGCUAAUACCGCAUACGUCCUGAGGGAGAAAGCGGGGGAUCUUCGGACCUCGCGCGAUUGGAGUGGCCGAUGUCAGAUUAGCUAGUUGGUAGGGUAAAGGCCUACCAAGGCGACGAUCUGAAGCGGGUCUGAGAGGAUGAUCCGCCACACUGGGACUGAGACACGGCCCAGACUCCUACGGGAGGCAGCAGUGGGGAAUUUUGGACAAUGGGGGCAACCCUGGUCCAGCCAUGCCGCGUGCGGGAAGAAGGCCUUCGGGUUGUAAACCGCUUUCGGACGGAAAGAAAUCGCACGGGCCAAUACCCUGUGUGGAUGACGGUACCGUAAGAAGAAGCACCGGCUAACUACGUGCCAGCCGCCGCCGUAAGAC
rnacentral:rRNA from 1 species